rnacentral:tRNA from 2 species
UGGUCCGUAGCUCAAUUGGUUAGAGCAUCCCCCUCCUAAGGGGAAGGUUGGAGGUUCUUAUCUGGGGUGGA